rnacentral:lncRNA from 1 species
UGGAUACCAAAAUAUCAGACCAGGGAUCUGGCUCAGAUGCACAUCUAGCAAAGUCAAAGGAGAAAUUCUAACAUGAUAUCUGAUGUCAGCUCUCUGGUCCAGAAUGAAUGUGUUGGCUUUAGUAAUUUGCUAAACUGCUUCUGGAUUGAAAGAACUAGUUUAAUUUAUUUAUCUAUUCUAAAACCAUCCAUUGUCUAUUUACUAUAUCCUAAGCCCUGGACUUUUGCUUGAGAAUACUAAGAAAAAUAAUACCUGUUUCCUACCUUUAAAAGAAUCAUAGUCUAGGGAGAGAGAGAGACAAAAUCAUGUACGGCCGGCCUCACUAGGAUGUGAUCAGUACUCUAGUGGAGACAAAGAGCUAUAAGAACCUACAAGAAGGAGGGAAUAAUGCUGCAUGCGAGGAAGUGGGAAUUGAGAAAGCUGCUGCAGUGGAAAUGCUGGCCUGCUGUCACCUACAAUAUGCUACUCAGAAGUGGAAGUCCUAUGGCAUAGUUUUGGAUUAUGUUCCUGGAAGCCCAGAAUCAAAGGCCAUGAUGGAAAGAAGGAGUUGGAGGGAAAGCACAAAUCUGGAAAUGAGUAAUUACUCUAAAUAGACUAUUUUCCAAUAAAGUCACUAUGAUAUGUUUGUUGGCAAAGUUGGAAAAGCAGCUUGAGAGCCAAGAUGAGGUAAUUUUUCCUGUCAACUUUGUGAAAACUCCUUAGGAGGGUUGAUUACUUUCGUGCUGUCUUCUGAUUUUUCAGUGUUUGAUUUUGGAAAGUACUCUCUAUUUUAUGAAAAACUCCAUAUUAUUUUAUGAUCAUGAGAUACCCACCAAAACAGGGAUGAUGUCUUUAGGAUCUGCUGCCAGUUGCGCAUACAUUUGAAAUGGGUGAGAGAAGGCCAAUAAGUUUGAAGUUGAAGGUCAGCUUCUUGGGGCCAGAGUUCAGAAAGAAGAAUGAAUUUGGAGGAGGAAAUGGAAGAUGUUCAACACAGGUCAAAGAGCAAGAGUGAAGGGUGGAAUUACCUGAUUUGCUUCAUAUCAUGUUGACUGAAAGAAAGUGACCAAAUUUCAAGACAUUUCUUCUUGGAGAUGAAACCUUUAAAUCUUUCUUCAGAGUAAUUUGGGAUAGAGCUGAAUAGACUGUUCUGGACCCAUGCAAACUAGCUCCCACUUGAUGCCGAAACUGCCCAUCUGGGACUAUACUUCAAGAAGUAGGUUCUGACAUAUGCUUGGGAAGCUUGUAGCUGGAUGGAAAGCUGUCCCACAGAAGGAAGACAAUAAAGGCACACUGGUCCUGCGUGUUCCAACUAGUUUGAAUCCUACUGGACCAUGAGCUCUUUCAGAUGGGAUGGCACCUCGAUGAC